GAUAAACGCUAGCGGCAGGCUUAACACAUGCAAGUCGAGGGGCAGCAUAGAUUGUAGCAAUACAAUUGGUGGCGACCGGCGCACGGGUGCGUAACGCGUAUGCAACCUACCCGUCACAGGGGGAUAAUCCGGAGAAAUCUGGUCUAACACCCCAUAACAUAUGGAUCGGCAGCGGUUCAUGUUGAAAUUUUCGGAGGUGACGGAUGGGCAUGCGUAGCAUUAGCUUGUUGGUGAGGUAACGGCUCACCAAGGCGACGAUGCCUAGGGGGACUGAGAGGUUUUCCCCCCACACUGGGACUGAGACACGGACCAGACUCCUACGGGAGGCAGCAGUGAGGAAUAUUGGUCAAUGGGCGCAAGCCUGAACCAGCCAUGCCGCGUGCAGGAUGACGGCUCUAUGAGUUGUAAACUGCUUUUGUACGAGGGUAAAGUGGGUUACGUGUAACCUUUUGGAAGUAUCGUACGAAUAAGGAUCGGCUAACUCCGUGCCAGCAGCCGCGGUAA
rnacentral:rRNA from 1 species